UCUCUUUGCAUCAAUUCGAUUCUAAACUACGCCUUACAAUUGAAGCGAGAGACAUACACACACAUACACACACAAACAAAAAAAAAACCCUAACAAUCUCUGAAGUUACGAUGAGCUCCUAUGAUCGUCGAUUUGCUGAUCCGAAUUCGUAUCGCCAACGCUCUGGCGCCCCAGUUGGUUCGUCUCAGCCGAUGGAUCCUUCUGCCGCACCGUACAAUCCACGGUACGGCGGUGGUGGAGGUGGUGGAUAUGGACCGUCCCCUGUAGUGGCAGGUGAUGGUUCCGGCUAUGGUCGUUACCCAGCUUUCCACCCACCUACUAGUGGUUUCUCCGUUGGUCGCGGCGGCGGUGGCGGAAGAGGCGCAUACGGUCAAUACGGGGAUAGAAGGGGUGGAUACGGCGGCGGAGGCGGCGGGAAUUGGGGAGGACGAGGUGGAUCGAGUAAAAGGGAGCUAGAUAGCGUUUCUCUUCCGAAGCAGAAUUUUGGGAAUCUUGUCCAUUUCGAGAAGAAUUUCUACGUGGAGAGUCCUGCUGUGCAGGCGAUGACAGAGCAGGAUGUUGCCAUGUACAGAACAGGGAGGGAUAUAUCCGUUGAAGGGCGUGAUGUUCCUAAGCCGAUUAAGAUGUUCGAAGAUGCUAACUUUCCAGAUAAUAUUCUCGAAGCAAUUGCUAAACUGGGAUUUACUGAGCCCACGCCAAUACAAGCUCAGGGAUGGCCGAUGGCUUUGAAGGGUAGGGAUUUGAUUGGUAUUGCUGAGACUGGCUCUGGUAAAACACUGGCUUACUUGUUACCUGCGUUGGUUCACGUAAGUGCGCAACCUCGAUUGGGUCAAGAUGAUGGACCCAUCGUGUUAAUAUUAGCUCCGACCAGAGAAUUAGCAGUUCAGAUUCAAGAGGAAUCAAGAAAAUUCGGGCUGCGCUCUGGUGUUAGAAGUACUUGUAUCUAUGGUGGUGCUCCUAAAGGACCUCAGAUUCGCGAUCUUAGAAGAGGUGUUGAGAUUGUGAUUGCUACACCUGGUCGUUUGAUUGAUAUGUUGGAGUGCCAACACACUAAUUUGAAGAGAGUGACUUACCUUGUGUUGGAUGAGGCUGACAGAAUGUUAGACAUGGGAUUUGAACCUCAAAUUAGAAAGAUUGUAUCUCAGAUCCGACCUGAUAGACAGACACUGCUCUGGAGUGCAACAUGGCCACGAGAGGUUGAAUCUCUUGCCAGGCAGUUUCUACGAGAUCCAUACAAGGCCAUUAUUGGAUCAGCAGAUCUAAAAGCUAACCAGUCUAUUAACCAAGUAAUCGAGAUUGUACCGACGCCAGAGAAAUACAACAGGCUCCUUACACUGCUUAAACAGUUGAUGGAUGGAAGUAAAAUCUUAAUAUUUGUGGAGACAAAGAGAGGGUGUGAUCAAGUGACUAGACAAUUAAGAAUGGAUGGAUGGCCAGCUCUUGCCAUACACGGUGACAAAAACCAAGCGGAAAGAGAUCGAGUCUUGUCAGAAUUUAAGAGCGGAAGAAGCCCGAUAAUGACUGCCACUGACGUAGCAGCAAGGGGACUUGGAAAAAAAAAAAGGAGCUUUGAAGAAUUUGCUUCCCUUAGCCAUCUCCCGGGCAUGGAGCUGAUUGGUUUAUGAGCAGCCUGGGCGACUCACCUGCUUGCAUUAAUAGUGUUUUAACGCCGUCACACACACUCCUUAUCCCUGCAAGUUAAGAUGUGAAGGACAUAAAGUGUGUGGUUAACUAUGAUUUCCCGACUUCAUUGGAGGAUUACAUCCAUAGGAUUGGUCGAACUGGGCGUGCAGGGGCUAAAGGAAUGGCCUUUACAUUCUUUACACAUGACAACGCCAAGUUUGCAAGAGAGCUUAUCAAGAUCCUUCAAGAAGCUGGUCAAGUUGUACCCCCCACUCUCUCUGCACUAGUCAGAUCUUCUGGUUCUGGUUUUGGAGGUUCUGGUGGUGGCCGAAAUUUCCGGUCAAGAGGAGGAGGACGUGGUGGGUUUGGGGAUAAACGAUCAAGAUCGACUUCAAACUUUGUCCCUCCUGGUGGAAAAAGGACUUGGUAGAGAAUAGAAGAAAGUUAAGUUAUGAUGAUAUUUGAUACUUAACCGUGUUUAUUUUCGUUUUCGUGCUAGAGAACAAAUGUUUUAUUUAAUUAUUUGAUUUUUCUUCUUCUUCAUGAGA